GUUUAAAACAAACGGAGUCGGACGGUAUGGAUACCGAGCAGACAUGUGUGAAUAGGCCUUUAAUCAUCUAGUAGCUACGGAAUUUAGAAAACUAGGGUGAGGGUGGAAAUUUCAACUCUGAUGGCAUUUUCGCAGAUGCUUAUGCUUAUGCUUUGCAGAUGGAUCUUAACGGGCAUUUGUCCCACUACCGAUAUGGAAUGGUUACCGUACGCUACAUUAAACUUGGUGAUCGGGUAGUAGGAUAAAUGAUAAGGUCGAGAGAAAAUGAAUAAAAAAAAGGAUUUUACAACAAUGAACAAUUCAUAUUAAAUACACGAUCGAAAAGAAUACAGAAUAUUUAUAACAUGUAGGUGCU